UCCUACGGGGAGGCAGCAGUGGGGAAUAUUGCACAAUGGGCGCAAGCCUGAUGCAGCGACGCCGCGUGGGGGAUGACGGCCUUCGGGUUGUAAACCCCUUUCGCCAGGGACGAAGCGUAAGUGACGGUACCUGGAGAAGAAGCACCGGCCAACUACGUGCCAGCAGCCGCGGUAAUACGUAGGGUGCAAGCGUUGUCCGGAAUUAUUGGGCGUAAAGAGCUCGUAGGCGGUGUGUCACGUCUGCCGUGAAAACCUGCGGCUUAACCGUGGGCGUGCGGUGGAUACGGGCAUCACUUGAGUUCGGUAGGGGAGACUGGAAUUCCUGGUGUAGCGGUGGAAUGCGCAGAUAUCAGGAGGAACACCGGUGGCGAAGGCGGGUCUCUGGGCCGAUACUGACGCUGAGGAGCGAAAGCGUGGGGAGCGAACAGGAUUAGAUACCCUGGUAGUCCACGCCGUAAACGUUGGGCGCUAGGUGUGGGGCGCUGUUCACGUGUCCCGUGCCGUAGCUAACGCAUAAGCGCCCCGCCUGGAGGGCCCCACCGGUC
rnacentral:rRNA from 1 species